UAUUAGAACAAUUGGCCUCUACAACUUGUGUUUGCUAUACUUUAAAGAUCUUUAUUGGGGAAAAAUAAUAGUCAUAAAUGAAAACAAAUUUUAUAGCACUAAGCAUAUUGAAAAUAUUUGUCCUAAAUAAGAAUUCAGGAUAGGGUACAUAACUACAUAAUCAUUAUACGUUAAGAUAACAUAGAAAAUAAAGUCAGGUAGGGUAGAUGUGAGAAAUAAGCACUCCCUUUCAAAUCCAAGAUGCUAGUCUUGAUUUUUGUGACAUUUUGUUACACUUUAUUCAUUAAUCUUCCUCAAAUACCCAGGGAAGGUAGUGACUGUCCUCCCACAGGGGCACAGCAACACAUGGCGUCCGGAACACACCAUCAGUGCCAGCUUUGCUCCAUACAAGUCAACGCAAGGAAUCAAAGCUAAGUAACAAGCUCUUCAUUUGGAAAGAAAGGCGGGAAAAAAAAUAAGGCAUGAGAAAUAUAAGAGAUGCCGACCAUGAGAGGACAGCUAGAGGACCCAGUCACAGAGAACCAAAGUGUCAUUUCACAUCUGUGCAAGUCACAGAGACUUAUCCUGGUGUCAGAUAACGAGCUGGUGUUCAGAGGAGCUACAGUCAGAUUGUGAAGAUGAUGUCCUUAUUCCUACACCUGGCAAAGAAGAGGAGACUAAACACCUCAGAAAAGGGUUUAAAAGGUCCACAGUGAGGAAACUCCAUGUAGUAAGUGCACUCAAGCCUUUAGUAUGCUCACAGUUGAAAGAGAAAUGGCUGUAGCUGGAGAGACAAGAGUGACUAAAGGGAGUUUUGUGCAUUUGGAUAUUUAAAAUGGGAGAGACUAACAUGAGCUCACAGAGGGAGGAGGAAGAGUUGAUGUGACCAGAUGUGUGUGUGUAGGACCAAAUGAGGGGAACAGGAAAGAAAAACAAGAAUUGGGGAUGGAAAAGAUGCUCUUUUAUCAGUAAAGCCCAGAUUCAGAGGCACUACUCCCCGUCCUGCCAAGUGUUGCAUGGCGUGACCAUAGGGAAAUCAGUGCAGUUGCCUGGAUUUAAUGCCUACUAUCUGUAGGAU